AUACUUACCUGAGGUAAGGGGAGCUACCAUGAUCACGAAGGUGGUUUUCCCAGGGCGAGGCUCACCCAUUGCACUCCAGCUAUGCUGACCCCUGCAAUUUCCCCAAAUGUGGGAGACUCGACUGCAUGAUUUGUGGUAGUGGGAGACUGUAUUUGCAUUCUCCCC